GACAGAGGUGCCAAGCGUUAGGCGGAAUCACUGGGCUUAAAGCGUGUGUAGGCGGAUGCCUAAGUACCUUGUGAAAUCCCACGGCUCAACCGUGGAACUGCUGGGUAUACUGGGUGUCUUGGGUCAGCUAGGGGUUGCCGGAACAAAUGGUGGAGCGGUGAAAUGCGUAGAGAUCGGGAGGAACACCAGUGGCGAAGGCGGCUACCUGGACCAGCAUUGACACUCAAGCACGAAAGCGUGGGGAGCAAACAGG
rnacentral:rRNA from 1 species